rnacentral:lncRNA from 1 species
GGCUUGCCAACAGUCUUUCAGACUGUGAACAUUAAAAAUUGUUUCCUUAAACCCAUAGCUUUUGCCCUUGAGGAACACAGUGAGGCAGAACCAACACAAUGAGGACUUACUGCUCACCUGAAUAUAUUCUGGGAGGACUGGAAGGACCUACCAGGUCAGAAAGCCUUGAGGAAACAUGGAGUUUCUGAAUCCUCUACCAUGUUCGCAAGUGAAGGAGAAACAUUUUCAUUCAGAUACCGAUUGAACAACACCUACCUAUGUACCUCCUAGUUCAUCUCUCUGCCUUUAGCCUUGGCCCCAGUGAUCCAGGCUCUACACUGCUAGUGCAAGAAUCUCAUGAAGACAGCAAAUCUGAUGAUGCCCAGACUCUGAGGAAAAUCUUUCAGUGCCAUCUGCAUGAGUUUACUAUUGCUGCUUUAACAAAUUACCACAAAUUUGGUGGCAUAAAACAAUUCAAAUUUUUUAUCUUACACUUCUAUAGGUUAAAAGUUUGACAUGGAUCUUACUGGGCUAGAAUCAAAAUGUUAGCAGGGCUGCGUUCCUUUUAUGGAGUCUCUAGAGAAGAAUCCAUCUCCUAGCGCCUUGCCCAGCUUCUACAUGAUGUCUGUAUUCUUUGAGUCAUAGCCUCUUCCUUCCCUUUAGCAAAAGCAGGUUGAGUUCUCACUCUGCCUCAUUCUGACUUCUACAUAGAAGGUUUUUUCUUUACUCGUUUUGUUCAUAGCUAUAUCCCCAGCACCUAGUAGAAAGUUUUUACUACAUGUUUGUUGAAUAAAUGAAAAAAAAUCAAAAACUUAAAAACAAUGUACUAAGUGUACUUAAUAAAUGCAGUUGUUCCACAUUCCCAU